rnacentral:ribozyme from 1 species
CACCUCCAUUUUUAUUAUGUAGCUUUAGUACACCCUCUCAAUAUUGUAGACAAGAGGAGUGGACAAACAGGCAGGGAAGCGAGAUGUCAUCACCAUACAACUAAACAAUACUGCUGCUGUGGCUUGUUCACCUACAUUUCAGCUUCUUCUCUCUUGGACAGCUGGGGACA